AGAGUGAACGCUGGCGGUAGGCCUAACACAUGCAAGUCGAACGGCAGCACAGUGGUAGCAAUACCAUGGGUGGCGAGUGGCGGACGGGUGAGGAAUACAUCGGAAUCUACCUUUUCGUGGGGGAUAACGUAGGGAAACUUACGCUAAUACCGCAUACGCCCUUUGGGGGAAAGCCGGGGAUCGCAAGACCUGGCGCGGAUAGAUGAGCCGAUGUCGGAUUAGCUAGUUGGUGAGGUAAUGGCUCACCAAGGCGACGAUCCGUAGCUGGUCUGAGAGGAUGAUCAGCCACACUAGGAACUGAGACACGGUCCAGACCUCCGUAACGGGAGGCAGCAGGUGGGGAAAUAUUAGGACAAGUGGGCGACAACGCCUGAUCCCAGCCCAUACCGCGGUGGGUAGAAAGAAGGCCUUCGGUAGUAACGUCCUUUGGUUAGGAAAGAAAGA
rnacentral:rRNA from 1 species